rnacentral:rRNA from 1 species
CAAUAGCGUAUAUUAAAGUUGUUGCGGUUAAAAGCUCGUAGUUGGAUUUGUGGCGUGGUCGUCCGGCGGGCGUCCUUCAUUGGGCGUUGUCUGGUUUUCGACCGCACCAUUCUCGGGUAGUGUGUCGCUGGCAUUAGGUUGUCGGCUUCUUCACGCCCGUCGUUUACUGUGAAAAAUUAGAGUGUUCAAAGCAGGCUUAGGCCGUUGGAUACAUUAGCAUGGAAUAAUGAGAUAGGGCCACGACGGUCUAUUUUGUUGGUUUGCACGUUGUGGUAAUGAUUAACAGGAACGGUUGGGGGUAGUUCGUAUUCAAUUGUCAGAGGUGAAAUUCUUGGAUUUAUGGAAGACGAACUACUGCGAAAGCAUUUACCAAGGAUGUUUUCAUUAAUCAAGAACGAAAGUUAGGGGAUCGAAGACG